UACGUAGGUGGCAAGCGUUGUCCGGAUUUAUUGGGUUUAAAGGGUGCGUAGGCGGCUUUGUAAGUCAGUGGUGAAAUAUGGCAGCUCAACUGUCAAGGUGCCAUUGAUACUGCGGAGCUUGAGUACAGAUGAGGUAGGCGGAAUUGACGGUGUAGCGGUGAAAUGCUUAGAUAUCGUCAAGAACACCUAUAGCGAAGGCAGCUUACUAGGCUGUAACUGACGCUGAGGCACGAAAGUGUGGGGGAUCAAAACAGG
rnacentral:rRNA from 1 species